rnacentral:rRNA from 1 species
GAAUUCGAUUAGAGUUUGAUCAUGGCUCAGAUUGAACGCUGGCGGCAUGCCUUACACAUGCAAGUCGAACGGCAGCACGGGGGCAACCCUGGUGGCGAGUGGCGAACGGGUGAGUAAUGCAUCGGAACGUGCCCAGUAGUGGGGGAUAACCCGGCGAAAGCCGGGCUAAUACCGCAUACGACCUACGGGUGAAAGCGGGGGACCGCAAGGCCUCGCGCUAUUGGAGCGGCCGAUGUCUGAUUAGCUAGUUGGCGGGGUAAGAGCCCACCAAGGCGACGAUCAGUAGCUGGUCUGAGAGGACGACCAGCCACACUGGGACUGAGACACGGCCCAGACUCCUACGGGAGGCAGCAGUGGGGAAUUUUGGACAAUGGGCGCAAGCCUGAUCCAGCAAUGCCGCGUGUGUGAAGAAGGCCUUCGGGUUGUAAAGCACUUUUGGCGGGAACGAAAAGGUCUGUGCUAAUACCACGGACUCAUGACGGUACCCGCAGAAUAAGCACCGGCUAACUACGUGCCAGCAGCCGCGGUAAUACGUAGGGUGCAAGCGUUAAUCGGAAUUACUGGGCGUAAAGCGUGCGCAGGCGGUUGUGCAAGACAGGUGUGAAAUCCC